GCUUUGGGGUAAUAGGGGACAGUGUCACCUGAGGUCUGUGGUCGAGUCGCUUCCAAAAGUCCUUGUACAGUGCCUCAAAUCUGGCAUUAAAAUAAUACAGCCACUCCUGGAUCCCUCGGCUUGCUCGUGGCUGUAGGUUUUCCUGGCCGGUGGCCAUCUUAGGUGUGCCUCGUGGGCCUCACUUUGUGAAAUAAGUGAGCCUGGGCUGUCUCUAAUUGAUUUGUUUUUGGGUGAGGUUUUUUAAAUAAACAAAUUUCAGGCGUUAGCAUUAUAAUUGAAUCUGUAAUUGUGUAACUUAUUUUAUGAAUCGAAUUCCAAUAUUAUUGUAUUAAAGGGCUCAUGCGUCAAAGGUAAAUUUUGAAAUUUAAAACUGUAAUUUAGUG